ACACCUACGGGUGGCAGCAGUGGGGAAUUUUGCGCAAUGGGGGAAACCCUGACGCAGCGACGCCGCGUGGAGGAUGAAGGUCUUCGGAUUGUAAACUCCUUUUGUCGGGGAAGAUAAUGACGGUACCCGAUGAAUAAGCCACGGCUAACUCUGUGCCAGCAGCCGCGGUAAGACAGAGGUGGCAAGCGUUGUUCGGAAUUACUGGGCUUAAAGGGCGCGUAGGCGGUGGUGUAAGUCUGGGGUGGAAGAUUAGGGCUUAACCCUAAAAUUGCCUUGGAAACUGCAUCACUUGAGUCAGCGAGGGGAUGGCGGAAUUCCAGGUGUAGCGGUGAAAUGCGUAGAUAUCUGGAGGAAGGCCGGUGGCGAAGGCGGCCAUCUGGCGCUGAACUGACGCUGAGGCGCGAAAGCGUGGGGAGCAAACAGGAUUAGAUACCCUGGUAGUCCACGCCCUAAACGGUGGGUACUAGGUGUAGGGCUCGCAAGGGUUCUGUGCCGUAGGGAAACCAUUAAGUACCCCGCCUGGGGAGU
rnacentral:rRNA from 1 species